rnacentral:rRNA from 1 species
UUCCUACGGGAGGCAGCAGUGAGGAAUAUUGGUCAAUGGGCGAGAGCCUGAACCAGCCAAGUCGCGUGAGGGAAGACGGUCCUAUGGAUUGUAAACCUCUUUUGCCGGGGAGCAAAAAGCGGUACGUGUACCGCAUCGAGAGUACCCGGAGAAAAAGCAUCGGCUAACUCCGUGCCAGCAGCCGCGGUAAUACGGAGGAUGCGAGCGUUAUCCGGAUUUAUUGGGUUUAAAGGGUGCGUAGGCGGAUUUUUAAGUCAGCGGUAAAAUGUCCGGGCUCAACCCGGGCCGGCCGUUGAAACUGGGGG